UCGGUCACACGGUUGCGCACAGAUUUGUGUGAGGAAAGUCCGAGCCCCAUAGGGCAGAAUAGCAGCUAACGGCUGCCGAGGGUGACCUUAGGGAUAGUGCAACAGAGAUAUACCGCCGUGCAAACGGUAAGGGUGGAAAGGCGAGGUAAGAGCUCACCUGCCGAAUGGAGACAUAUCGGUACUGUAAACCCUAUUCGGAGCAACGCUGACCGUGGCUAUACAUUUGCCCGAUGUGCCACAAAAAGCGGCUUGAGCAUACAGGCGACUGUAUGUCGAGAUAGAUAACCGUGCAAGACAGAACUCGGCUUACAGACCGACUCG
rnacentral:RNase_P_RNA from 1 species